UUUAUUGUAGUUUAAUUAGAGAACGUGUGAUUUUGGGUCACAAGGAUUAAAGGGCAUUUUUUCAAUGGGG
rnacentral:tRNA from 1 species